ensembl:lncRNA LOC103691690 uncharacterized LOC103691690
AUUUGAUUUCCACAGCAUCAGCUCCUUAAGGGAAGUAACUUCCUUAUUCUGCUAUGAUAGAAAGAAGUCCCCUACAGCCGUGUUUGGCGGCAUCUCUCCUGAUGAUGUUGGCGUUUGAAAACGGCAAGUGGGCGUGGAGCAUCUUCCAUAGGCUGCUGUGUGGGAGAACAUGGGAGCAAAGGGAAACUGAAGCAGAAGAGAAAGGCCAGGGUAACACCAUGUAGGGCAUCAGCUGACAAAUUAAGAAACUGGUAUGCGCGAAGGCUCCUUUAGACAUUCAGAAAUAAAUGUGUCCUGUGACACGGACGGCUCUGCUCAUACCUUCAAACAGAUCAGGGCUAAUAAACCACAAGGCUGAGCGUAAGGAACAACAAGCAAUUGAAGGGUCCAGCUGAAAUUGCAAACUAUAAAUCUGUCCCACAUGGCAGAAUUAUGCAAUUUUCUCCAGCAAAGCUCAGCAGUCCAGAGAUGGGAAAUGUCUGUGAUUAGAUAGGAGCAGGUUGGAAAGCACAGAUAGGUCUAAGAAGAUAAAAGGCAGAACGGCAAGCCCAGUUAGAUGAGCAGAUGAAAAACGGAAAAGGAUGGAUUUCAUCAGGAAAGGAAACCGGGAAGACUGGUCUGAACAGUUUCUUCCAGGUCAUGUUGUCAACUUGAUUCUAUCUGGAAAUGACUCAAACCUAAAACUGGUACACUUGUGAGGGAAUUUAGAUCAUUUUAAGUGGGAAGAUGCACUUCUGAUCCAGAUGUUGGCGAUAUGAAGGCAUACCUUUAGUCCCAGCCACACCUUCUUUGAGUUCCCCAGCCUAAAAAGGAGAGUGAUCUAUUUCAUUCAAAGGUAAAUUUAUCAAACUAAGGACAAGAGCAUGGAAGAGUAAUCACGUGAGAUAAUCACAGAGGACAUCCCAAGCUGGAAUACUCUAUAGGCACAUAAUACAAAUAAUGUAUUGCAAGACACUAGCUGAGACACAGAAAAGGGAAAGGAGAGAAAACAAAAAACACCUAAUCUCUCGUGAGAGACACAGCCAGAAUAUGGCAAAUACAUAAGCGAAUGCCAGCAACAAACCACUGAACUGAGAAUGGGACCCCCAUUGAAGGAAUCAGAGAAAGGUCUGAAAGAGCUGAAGGGGCCUGAGACCCCAUGUGAACAACAAUGCCAAGCAACCAGAGCUUCCAGGGACUAAGCCACUACCCAAAG